GUGAGUCAUCGAAUCUUUGAACGCAUAUUGCGCCCCCCAGUACUCUGGAGGGCAUGCCUGUUCGAGCGUCAUUUCACCCCUCAGGCCCUAGCCGCCUGGCGUUGGGGCGCUGCGGCCCUGCCCGCAGGCCCUCAAAUCUAGCGGCGGACCCGCCCGGCCCUGAGCGUAGUAAUUAAAAGCCUCGCUCCGGCGGCCGCGGCGCGGCCCUGCCCCGCCCACUCAGACGGCGCUGCGAAAGCGCCGUCCUCGUUGACCUCGGAUCAGGUAGGACUACCCGCUGAACUUAAGCAUAUCAAUAAGCGGAGGA
rnacentral:misc_RNA from 1 species